rnacentral:rRNA from 1 species
UACGUAGGAGGCAAGCGUUGUCCGGAUUUACUGGGCGUAAAGAGCGUGUAGGCGGUACGAUAAGUCUGCUGUGAAAGCUCUCCGCUUAACGGAGAGAGGUCGGUGGAUACUGUCGCACUUGAGGACGGUAGAGGGGGGUGGAAUUCCCGGUGUAGUGGUGAAAUGCGUAGAUAUCGGGAGGAACACCUGUGGCGAAGGCGGCCCCCUGGUUGGAUACUGACGCUGAGACGCGAAAGCGUGGGGAGCAAACAGG